GAACUGCAGUUUGUCAAAGAUCAGCUGUGCUGCUCUGGUCACAGCUCUGAAGUCCAAAAUGUCCCACCUGACAGAACUGAAUCUGAGAGGGAACAACCUGCAGUAUGGAGAUAUUCAGCAGCUCCAGGAUCUGGUGGAGAGCCCAAACUCCAAACUGCAGACUCUGAGGUGGGAAGGAAGGGGCUGCCGAGACUGAUGUUGCCCCUUUAGGAGCAAAGAUGAACAUGAGAGGCAGUUGGUCUGCAGAUAUGUUGUUACUGAAUAGUCUGAACGAGCCGGCCUGCUGUUUGGAUCUUCAGACAUUUUCAAAGAUGACUACCAGCAGCCUGAAUAGAACAAGACUCAAGCCAAACUCCACAAAAUCACGACUCUCAUAAUCAAAUGUCUUCAAACUGUUCUAAGAAGAAAAGGAAAAGGAAAGAAGGAAAAAGGAACGGUAACUAGGCUCUACUUUGAGACCUGAAAAAAAAUCCUCAUCUGAGAUCAGUUAGUGUACUAAAGUUUGUCAGUUGUAUCAUUUUUAUAUAAUAUCUGUUCUUUUAAUAAAAUAUUUUCUCAUGCAGUUUGAAAGACUCAGAGUUUAGGUUUGAUUGAGGUUUUCUACAGUUUUAUGAUUAAACUUCCUUUUUCUUUGUUGUUUAGUGGGUAAAGUUUUUUUCCAUGCUGACAUCAUUUUAGCUGCAGUUUUUAAACACAUUUCAUCCAACUUUCUGAGCAUAAAUCCUGUUUUCUCCAGAGGACAUGAAUGAACAGAGUGGAUGUUAGUGAGGAAUUACAGAGAAUCACUUUGAUGCAGCUGCUGCAACAACACUAACUGCAUUGAAGCAGGAGGGAGAAGGGAGACACCUGCUGGCUGUUUUCAGAACUGCAUCUUAGUGUCUAAAGGUUCAAACUGAAAGCUGUCUGUCAAAUUCCUGCAGCCUGUUUGGAUCUAAUAAAUGCUCUUUUGAAUCAA